rnacentral:rRNA from 1 species
AGAGUUUGAUCAUGGCUCAGGACGAACGCUGGCGGCGUGCCUAACACAUGCAAGUCGAGCGGAGACAGUGAGUAGCUUGCUAUGAGCUGUUUUAGCGGCGGACGGGUGGGUAACGCGUGAGCAACCUUUCCCAGACAGGGGAAUAACACACCGAAAGGCGUACUAAUACCGCAUAAGACCACGGGAUCACAUGGUUCUGGGGUAAAAGAUUUAUCGGUUUGGGGUGGGCUCGCGUCCGAUUAGGUAGUUGGUGAGGUAACGG